CGGAAAUGAUGUCUUGACUGGGGGUGACAGAGAAAAUGGUUAGUGUCCUUUAAAAGGAGUAUGUAAAUCGUCAGGAAAGAUGCUAAAAACUAGCAGCUGAUUCGCUGGGUGGGUAUCAUUGAUUUGUGGCGUUUAUUUGGACUGUAAUUGGGCCGUGAGAGAGAGGGAUUGGAUGUCUGAGUCAUAAAACAUCGUGAUGGUGGAUUCUGAUGGUUGUUGAUUCUUGGUUUGAUCGUUUGAAUAGCACCAGUGAAUUUGAGCACUGUUUCCAUUAUGUGGAACGGUGUCAGGGUAUUAAUGGUGAAAAGCAACCUCUAUGGUAAAACAUUGUACAUGUUUCGGUAAACUAGCGAGGUUGAAUUUGGUUAUUUGAACAUUUCCCUUGAUACGUAGACAUACGUAACAGGGGCAAGUUGUUUUUCCUUGAGGAACACGCAGAUGGUGUUUUGUUUUAUUGAGAUGUAAAUGUGAGUUGAAGGAGCCAAGGGAAAAUACGUUAUUUUUAUUAAAUAUCAGGGAUUAUAAUAUUGGGGAAAAUGAGGCCAUAAACGACCAAAUUGGAAAGGCCUGGAAGUUUUGAUUAAUCAUUAAGGUUUGCAAAUAUAUACACAUAAAACAUUUGUUAGGACUAUUUGUUUUGGUGCAAAGGUAUUUUAAAGAGACACGCUCAAAUAUGGAACUUUAUGAGUUUUUAUUUUAUGAGUUUUAAAUUACACAAGUGAAUUUGGAUUUUAAGGAUAAAGGGUUCUUUAAUAUGUCUAGUGUAGUAUAGAACUUGACUAUAAAAGGGUGGGUUGACUCAUGGACCUUAUCAUGACUGUCUUCUAAGGUCUGAUCAGCCUUGGGGAGAGUCAUUGGUAUAAUGAAUGUGGUCAUAUUGAGUACUAGUUUUAAGGUAAAUUCAUUAUAAAGGAGUUUAGGUUAUGAGGUUAGGAUAGGAUAUAUAUUAAGCCAAUAGGGCAGGGAAUUACAUAGAAAAAUAAGUUUCAGUUCUUAGGGGUGAUAAAUCACUGUAGACAAGGAAUUCUGCACUCUGCAACAUAUAUUAAAUUCAUGUUAUUGUCAGAUAGAAUACUGAGAGUCCUUGAAGGAAGGAUUUUGAUAUGAUAAGCAUUUGUUUUGAAUUUUUUUGACCAUUAGGGGUUUAAAAAAAAAAAAAAAAUAGUAUUAAAUUUAACAGGUAUAUAGGACAUCUGUGAUGAUUUAGGAUUAUUGUUAGGUUGAUUAAGGAAAUGUAAGGACUUUAGAGAUUGACACUCAUAGACAUGAUUUUGGAUAAAGUCAAACAGUUAGAAGCUUAGUGGUAUUUGAGAAAUAUGAGAGAAAAGGUUUAAAUUGGUAAAUAUAUAUUUAAGAAAAUAUAUAAGUAGCGCAGAUAGUUCUUAAGUAGAUAAGAAACUUGACAGGGAAUUGGUACUGGAUUGACGCCCAAGGGAGAAUUGGACAUGUGGAAAACUAAAAGGGGCUCCUUCAUGAUGUCAGACAUAAGGAUAAUAUACUAAUCUUACCUAAGUCAGUAUUUAGAGUAGGUAAGGUUGAUACCUGGGCAGAGUCAGGUAUCAAAAGGGGGAUGGGUAAAUUGUGGUCUAGGAUAGGAUGGGGCUUAUUGGAUAAGAAACUAAAAAAAAAAAUAUGUAAGCUAACAAUUGGGCAUAGAAGUUAAAGAUAUAAUCAGAUAAAACAUAUGAGAAAUUGUUUGUUAACCAAGCCUGUAUGUCCAGGAUUUUAUGCAUUACAGGUGAACUACAGGUGAAGUCACUCAAUCCAGUCCCAGAGGCUUGGGGACCAUAGAAGACCCCUGGUGACAGCUAGCUGAAAGAGCUACCCAGAUUCAUAUCGCACGGCGGAAGGGUGAGACAUUUUUUCACUGUCGGACAAUAAACAGAGUUCGGGAGAAGAACUGGAAUUAACAGAAUUCCGGGGGCCAACUCUCGAAUGAAGUAACCCUACCUGUCCUAUCACCCCUGUUUUUGUUCAUAGAAGUGAAGAUGUGUCUGGCUCUGGCUAAGUGAUGUGUAUUUUGUUCCAAAAUAAGCAUAAGAAAUCCCUAGAUCUGGGUAGACAAGAAGUUAGAGUAGAGAUUACAUGAUAACCGACUUCGGACAGUUUUAGGAUUGGAGAAGAGGGUAUCCUUAUAGCAUGGGGGAUCCCACAAGGGUGGAUAGGUUUUCCAUGAUAUGGGGAAACCUGGGAGCAAUGUUGAACUUUGUAAAGGUGAUGAAAUCCUACUAACCAUCAAAACUAUUAAGCUCUCUGAUGCAGGCACUCACACCCUCGGACUACAAAGGACGAGGACAGACAUGAUGGGUGUGUUUUCUAUCAAGGUACUGCCAAGACCAGAGGUAGCCGGACACACUCCUCUACCACCACUGUGUUAAAAAUACCAUUCAGGUAAUUAAUGUUAGAGACUAUUCGGCUAUUGAUCAAUUAGAAACUGAGACUGGUUUUGAUAGUAGGGACAAUUUGUGGCUGUCUUAUAUGAGGUACACAGCUAAAACCCUGAGAAGAAAGGACUGUAUUAUUUGAAGUUAUGCUAGACCUGUUCUGGCUACACCCAUUUGCUGUAGGAGAAGGAGAGGGGUGGUUGUGUAUUUUGAGAAGUUUUUACCAGGUUAAGCCCAAUUCAACCCUCUGUUCCUCUUUGAGCCUUGUGUUUCCUGCAGUACCUCCUCAUCGGGCCUCUUGGGGUGUUGAGGCAUAUGGGGGCAAUUACGAGUGCAUCACGGGUACAGGUAAUGGCAUUGAUUAUGGGAGAUUGCCUGAAGCUGAUUGCAGGAGUAACAUAACCAUUAAUUCCACUUGGCCAGUUACAGGCCUAAACCAAACUAGUGGUCUGGCUGAUGUAUGUUGGAUGAGUGGAGCCAAAAGAGGGCUGAGACCCAUUCUUAGAGGAGAAUGGCAAGGUACGUGUGGUCUGACCAGUUUGAUAAUUCCACGGACCAUUGUUGAUGUUGUUGCUGAACAGCUGCUGAGUUCUGUAACCAGGGGACCUGAAAACAUUCCAUCCCAUGGGAGACAGAUGUAGUAGUGCUCCAUGGACAGAGGAUGUAGUUGACAUACACUAACCUGUUGGGAGUGCCAGUGGGGAUUCCUCAUGAGUUUCAGGCCUUGGGUAGGAAUGAUGGACUCUGGCACUUACUACCUACUAUGGGUCCAGCCAUGGUGGAUGCUGGACAGACUGCAUGGAUUAAUUAUAUCUACUAUGAUCAACAGCGUUUUGUGAAUUACUCCCGUGAUGCACUCACUAGUAUGUCUGAACAGCUUGAGGCCACAUUUGGGGUUUCCAGACAGAAUAGACUUGCCUUGGAUAUGCUUCUUGCCAGUCAGGGGGACGUCUGCAAGAUGUUCGGUAAACAAUGUUGCACAUAUAUUCCUAAUAAUACCAGUCCAGAUGAUAGUUUUUAAACUUCACAAUCUAAGGCGGGGUUGAUGCACUAUCUGCUAAGAUGAGGUCCACGGGGGGGGGGUGGAGGAGUCUGUUCUCUUGGCCUGGUUUGGUAAGUGCACUGGUAGGAUGGUUACUGGAUUUCUGACCCUAAUUCUUGUAUUAUUUGUUAUUGAUGUGAUGUGCUGCUUGCAUCAUACCGUGUUUUAAGUCUGUUACAGAUGUGGUGAGGGCUUCAGGCAUAUGCCUUUGCUUGAUGCUCCAGUUGGCGAUGCUGAUACGGACGCAUGCUUUCAGGGGAGGAUGGGACUGGUACCACCUGGUACAGGAUAGGAGUAGCUGAGAGGACCAGAUGGUUUCUAAUAAUUCUUUACUCUGUUUUCCAUGACCAAAGUUUUAUCCUACAUCUUACAUGUCAAUAACAAUAAAGUUUUAUCCUGUUUUUGAUAAGUGACACCCUUGGGGGGAACAAAGGCAUACAACAAAGGCAUAUAUAACUUGUUAUUAGUAAUAAACUUUUUAUUAUUUUCAUGAAAUGCUAUGACUGCUGAAAUAAAGGAUAAUUGAGUGACACCCUAGCAGGAGUAAAGGGGGAUCCAGUUGCUUUUAUUGAUUAAGCUUCUCCAUUGUAUGUCGUGUCUCAUCUGGGAUGGGAAGAGGGGGAAAUUAUUUUUCUUUGUGGGCCAUUUCCGGAUAGACAUACCUAGUUUAGGAUAUUUUUCCUUUUUGGAUUAUGUCUUCGUUUUUGCUUGGAGUAAUGUAUCUGGACUAUAUCACAUCUCUUAGGAGAUGUGAAGAGAGGGUAUCACAACUUUUUCCUGCUGGAAAAAGUGGGCUAAUGUGGACAAUCAUUUUACUUUUAUUUUGAGCUGUUCUCCGCUCUGUUAAAUGAGGGUUGUAAGCCAACUUAGUACAUAGUGGGAUUGAAUGGAGAACAUGAUGGUAAUACAUAAAUAUCUAUUUCUGUUUAAUACCGUGCCUUAUUUCAUAGUCCUUUGGGAGAAGUUUCUCUUUGUGUCUGGAUCCAGUUAGGUUGUGUCACGUCUCUGGUGAGACGUGAAGAGAGGGUUUUGUAAGGAAUUGCUAUUUCGUAUGCAGGUGACUAACUUACUGCUAAUUACAUGGCUACAACUCACAGUAAAGCCUGUGGGGUCCCCUACAGGAUAGCUCCCACAUUACACACAUAAUCUCCUAUGUAACCGAACACUGUGUGCCCGAAGAAGAUCCUACGAUGACGGACAGACAACUGAGCCAAUGGCGGAAGACUACAGACUACAACCAGCUGAACCAAUCCGGAGAUCCGAUCUUCCUAGGGUCAACCUACUUUCUGUGACGUAUAUAAGGGCUGUGCUGACUGUUUACGCUCUCUGCCUGCUGUUCCAACACGAACUAACGGAAGAGCCGUAUUUACGUGUACCAGAUAUUCUCCCUCUGAAAUAAACUGUCGCUUGUCGUACAAUUUUAACACCUGGGGCCUGUUGCACAAAAGUAGAAUUAAGACAUCCGGGAUAAAUGACUCAGCUGAGCUCAAUGAAGCCAAAACAUGUGCAUCCAGGCUUAAUUGGUUGCACAAAGACCAAGCCAGGAUGAGCAGACACGGAUUCAUUAAGCCAGGUGAAACCAAUCCUGGAUAGGUGCGCGCUCACGGCUCACUCAAAUAGACCCCGCCACAGAUUAACUGAUUUACCAUGGCAACUAGAGCCGCGUACUUUUCCCCGUCGGAAGCACAAAUCCUCAUGGAGGCAUACGAGGAGGUAAAAUAUAUAAUUAAGAAGAAAGGCAACACCGCCACAGUGAUAAAGCAAAGAGAAAAAGCGUGGCAAAGUAUUGCAGACCGCCUGAAUGCGUAAGUAGUGCACAAUUACACACUCACCGCUCCGCUGAAACAUCACAAUUACAAUUCAAAUAUUUAAUUCACAUCUCCAAAAAUGCAGUUGUACUGUAAUUAUGAAACGGUUAAAUUUUUAAUUGAAAUGCACUGCAGAUAUGAGUGAAAUUGUGUAAAGUAACUCCAUCACACUGUAUAAAGCUAUGAUAAAUUUUUUGAUAUUUUUACUGAAAACAAGACAAAAAUACCAAGUAAUUUUUUGCAGUGUGACUCCAUUAAAUGUGUGUGUGUGUGUGUGUGUGUGUAGAUUAAACAUGAACGGGCCAAAACGGACAUGGCAGCAGGUCAAAAUCAAAUACAAGAACAUUCUGCAGAAUGCAGUGAAAAAGAAUACCCACAGACAAGGCACGGGUGGUGGGUCACCAAAGGCUGACCUUACCCCAGCAGAGGACAUGGCCUUGGAGCUAAAUAAAGGCAGGCCCGUCUUAAGAGGGGAUCCCUGGGGGGAAAGAGACGAGCAUAGGUUCCUCCCAAGAUGCCACCCGCUUCAUUCAAGGUAUGUCCUUCCAUCUCUACAUGGGAUACAACCACAUUCAUAUUGAAUCAAUUUGGACUGUCUGACUUUGGUUUACCUAUUGCCUGGCAGCACUGUGUUCCUGUUAGAGCCACCAGCACAAGCACCAGACGAUGCUGAUCCAGGUGAAGGCCCCAGUGCAGCAGCAACAGCACAUGAUGGAGACGAUGAUGAGGAGGAGACCAUCUCUCUGGAUUCCAGAAGGCAUGAGGACCCAGAUGCUAUACAGUGGGAAAACCAGCCUGGCAACAUAGUGCGUAUUAAUAAAAGGACACCACAUCCUGCCAAAUUCCAGCUGCGCUAAUUGUAUUGUGUUCACAGAGCUCACAAGCUAUCAGAAAGUUGUAUGGCAACCACCUCCGGCGCCAAAUAGAACUGGCAGACAUAGACAUUCAGUACAAGAAGAAAAAGAUGGAAAAUCUUGCACUGGAGUCCGAAAUAAAAAAGAGGACAAUUAGGAAACUGGACCUUGAAAUAAAAAAACUUGAGAGGGAGCUCCAAGAAGAUGACACAGCUCAAAAUAAAAAUUAGGUAUAUUCUCGUAAAGUCAAGUGAGCCAUGAGAUAUGAGCUCUUAUUGUGAGCACACAGGACGGUGGCAUCUUUCUAAGUUUUUUUUUAUUUUCCCAGCAAUCAGUACAACCAAGUCAUCGUUAUAAGGCAUCGCCCUCUUUUGCCCACCCCCCCAGCACCAGGUGUGGCCACUAGCCUAUAUGAAGGCCCAAAAUUGUGUGUUCCUUUCUGCUCUGACAAUGGCAUGCCCAUUCGUGCGAGAUGUGGUGGAUGAAGAAGCACUUGUGCUGAGGAGAGCCUUCAGGCGAGAAAGGGUCUUCAGGGACCGGUUGGACCCACUGGCCUUCCCUGAUGACCAUCUAUAUGAAAGAUACAGGUUUUCUGCAGAUGGCAUCAGGUAUCUAUGCAGACUACUGGGUCCCAGGAUUAAGCACCGCACUGCACGGAGCCAUGCACUGAGUGUGGAGCAAAUGGUUUGUGUGGCCUUGCGCUUUUUGCUAGUGGAGCCUUCCUGUACUCAGUGGGGGAUGCAGAACAGCUGAACAAGGCCACAAUUUGCCGCACAAUAAGGAGUGUGUGUCUGGCUAUCAAAGCAUUAGCAGAUGUCUUCAUCUCCUUCCCUGGCCACAGAAGACUCUGUGACAUCAAAGAGGAGUUCUAUAGGAUUGCAGGUUUCCCCAAUGUCAUUGGUGCAGUGGACUGCGCACACAUAAGGAUAAAAGCCCCCUCAGGUGCCCAUGAGGCCGAUUUUGUGAAUAGGAAAUCCUUUCACAGCAUUAAUGUUCAGAUGGUCUGCAAUGCUGACUGUGUGAUCAGCAAUGUUGUGGCAAAAUGGCCUGGCUCAGUCCAUGACUCCAGAAUCUUUCGGGCCUCUGAAAUCUAUCACAAGGUGAAUUCUCUGGUGUGUUGCUGGGAGACAGGGGUAUGGCUGCCAGCCUUUUCUCCUGACACCUUUCACAGACCCCCAGGAAGCACAGCAGGCCUACAACCAUGCCCAUGCCAGGACCAGGGCCAGAGUUGAAAUGACCUUUGGCCUCCUGAAGGCACGCUUUCACUGCCUUCACAAAUUAAGGGUCAGCCCUGUUAGGGCAUGUGAUAUUACUGUGGCUUGUGCUGUCCUCCACAAUGUGGCCUGCCUGAGGAAGGAGAGGGCCCCCAGAGUGCCACCAGCCAUGGACUGGGACAAUCCGGCAAUCUUCCCUGAUGACGACAGUGGUCGGCUGCUGAGGGACCAAUAUGUGUUGAAUUAUUUUAGUUAGUAUGUGUGCUUUCAAUUUUGGUUAAAUAUGUCCUGCGGUGGCAGAGGAAUUUGGUUUUUUUUUGGGUUCGUUUUUUUGACGAAUUUGGCCUCUUAUGAUGUUUGUGCGGUAUACUGUGUGUAAUACAAGGCUGCAGGGAGGCUACUGCAUCCAUUCAUUUGUCUGUUCAGUUGAUGUGUAUGGAUUUGUCCUGCAUUUAUUUUAGUGUGCAGACAUGCAGGGUGUGUUAUAUACAGACCUUUGAAUGUGUAUGUAUCAUUUUGUAUAAUAUGCUUGGAUUCUGUGCUUUCCAUCUUGUAGAGUCACUGUGACUUCAGUUUCGAAAGGAGCUGAUGGUUUACCUGCUUUGUUUUGUCCUUAUUCAAUAAAGGAACAUAAUGUUA